CUCCUGCUCUUUCCCCCCUUCACCGUCUGUUCGCUUGUUGUUUUUAGUGGCUUGUCCUUGCGGGAUUGGAGAGGCUCCGGUUGGGGAAAUUUUAGGCUAGUUCAGCUGGGCAAGUACGGGAUUAGAGGAAUUUAGGGACCCAACAUAGUAAAAUCAGUAGAAAUGAUACAUAGUCUGUUGUCAAAAGGCUCGCCUGGUUUGGUAGGAAGCAUCUAGCAUGUGAUGCUCAUUAGCUUCCUGCUGUGGAUAUUGAGGGAAGAGCUGAUUCGUCCUUCAUCAAUUUUUGAGGGUCUUGCUUGUUCGUGGAUCCCUUAAUAAGAUGCAAUUACACAACAAUAUGCAUUUAACUCAACUGGUUUGUUUUACGUUGCAUCUGUCAAAACUAGCAUAGUUUAAUUGGAUGCUAGAGAAUAUUUUGCAAAUGGCCUUCCAUACGCUUAAACAAUCCUAAGAUAGCCUUUUACUUGCACAGGUUGUACUGACUACAGGUAAUCACUAAACCUAGGAGUUUUCAUUUCUUAGUUGUAGUUUAAAUGUCGUAACAGUAUUCUGUGAUGCUGGUUGUUUAAUUAGUUUUUCUGGUCUUGUAUCUUGUGGUAUCUUGCUUGUUUCAAACAUGGCAUACAUAAAUUUUCUACCUAGAUAUUAGGGUACUCUGUACCUCUGUGUUUAAACUUCAAAUUCGUUAAAAGUCUAUGAUAAAAGUGGUAGUUUUCUGUGGCUUAGGAUCAGUCAUAAGGUCUUUUAGUCCCUACCAAAGCAAUGUCAAGCCUGACUAUA